UUGUUUUUUUGGAAAUGCGACAUUGAGCGUUCAGAGCUCACGGCAACGCUGUCCACUAGUUUCUAAUCGUUGGGAGAGGAAUUUUGUGUUCGUGCCCAAUGGAAGGCUCCAUGGUGGAAGUCGUGAUCGUUUGGUGUUCUGAAGGUGCUGCUGGUCCUUGGAUUAAAUCGCGAUGUGAUUUAACGAUAGCGGAAGGUGGCGCUGAAUUUAUCUUCAGGAUUUAAAGGCCUUAAUCGAACUAUUCGCAAAUACUUUCCAUCCGUUACUAAACAGUUUCCAGAAAAUGAUCAAUCGGUUAAAAAAAAAACUGUCCCUGGCGAGACAAGUUACCUAACGAACGAGGCCUCCUCUUAACGGGCUGCUUUGAGCGAGAGACAGUGCUGGCAUACAGCCAACUUGAUCAAAAACAACAACGACGUCUUGUCAAUUAUGUUCUUCUGGAAAGUUUGAGGCUACCAGACCGUGAGGGUGGCACGUUUGAAGUUGCUGUCUUUUAGAUGUUCCAUCAUAUUGUUCUGGGAUGAUUUUGUGUACACUUAC